rfam:Trichobilharzia regenti genome assembly, scaffold: TRE_scaffold0014605
AUUCUGAUGAAGAGUCCCAAACUAGGACGAAACAGCUGUCCAGUAC